UACAGAGGGUGCGAGCGUUAAUCGGAAUUACUGGGCGUAAAGCGCGCGUAGGCGGCUUUGCAAGUCGAGUGUGAAAUCCCCAGGCUCAACCUGGGAACUGCAUUCGAGACUGCAUAGCUAGAGUAUGGGAGAGGGAAGUGGAAUUUCAGGUGUAGCGGUGAAAUGCGUAGAUAUCGGGAGGAACACCUGAGGCGAAGGCGGGUUACUGGGCUGAUACUGACGCUGAUGCGCGAAAGCCAGGGGAGCAAACGGG
rnacentral:rRNA from 1 species